UACGUAGGGGGCAAGCGUUGUCCGGAAUCAUUGGGCGUAAAGAGCGUGUAGGCGGCUCGUUAAGUCUGCUGUGAAAGUCCAGGGCUCAACCCUGGAAGGCCGGUGGAAACUGUCGGGCUAGAGUCCGGAAGAGGCGAGUGGAAUUCCCGGUGUAGCGGUGAAAUGCGCAGAUAUCGGGAGGACCACCAAUGGCGAAGGCACCUCGCUGGGACGGUACUGACGCUGAGACGCGAAAGCGUGGGGAGCAAACAGG
rnacentral:rRNA from 1 species